GGCUUAUCUCCCCCAAGAGUUCACAUCGACGGGGAGGUUUGGCACCUCGAUGUCGGCUCAUCGCAUCCUGGGGCUGUAGUCGGUCCCAAGGGUUGGGCUGUUCGCCCAUUAAAGCGGUACGCGAGCUGGGUUCAGAACGUCGUGAGACAGUUCGGUCCCUAUCCGUCGUGGGCGUAGGAAAUUUGAGAGGAGCUGUCCUUAGUACGAGAGGACCGGGAUGGACAUACCUCUGGUGUACCAGUUGUCGUGCCAACGGCAUAGCUGGGUAGCUAUGUAUGGACGGGAUAAGUGCUGAAAGCAUCUAAGCAUGAAGCCCCCCUCAAGAUGAGAUUUCCCAACUUCGGUUAUAAGAUCCCUCAGAGAUGAUGAGGUUAAUAGGUUCGAGGUGGAAGCGUGGUGACACGUGGAGCUGACGAAUACUAAUCGAUCGAAGACUUAAUCAAUUU
rnacentral:rRNA from 1 species